GGUCUCUCAGGGUCGCAUCUGGAGAGUUUCCAGUACUCUUACCAGUCUCGACUAUGGGAGGGAGAGUCACGCAGAGGCCUACCCAUUCCAUUCCUAGCUUGGCCAGUGGCUAGUGAGUGAAAGACAAUCUACUUCAAGG